rnacentral:lncRNA from 1 species
GUCCAAUGCGGGAGAUGGGGCGGCCAGGUCCGUGGGCUUCAGCAGCGCCGCAGUUGCCGGGGACCUGGCCAGAGCGGUUUCCAGAGAGUGGGGCGCGGCGGCAGCCGGGCUGCGGGGAGCUGGCGGGGAGCGGAGGUCAGGAAGCGGGCGGUGCGGGCAACUCUCCUGAGAAGGCUGGCCAUGAAAAAUCAGAAAGACCAACAGACCGUUUCUGGAAAGGCGGGAGAUCGAAGGCUAGCCCUCCGCCUCCCCCGUUUAAGCCGGCAAAGCCCCAGCCUUCCACCUUCUCAACAUCUCUGUUCCCUGGAGCAGCUGAGCCGUCCCUCCGAUGAAAGCCCCACUCCUACUUGACACGUCCCUCGUUGGCUUGGCUUCCCCACGCCCGAGGCCCCGGCCUUUACCUUCUCUCGCGAAACCGUGCCGCACCUUCCCCCGCUCCCCUAGCAGACGACCUCGCCACAGAUUCGUCUGAGAAGGCGGAAGCCAUUUCCCCUAACUACCCACCCCCCAAAAAACCCGAGCCCCCAGCAGCUGCCCCUCCUCCACUAGGGCUUGUGAGCCACCUCCAAGCCCCUGUAGCCUGCGGGCUUCCACCGGCGGCCCCCUCAGGGGCAUCUACUCUCCUCUCUCCGUGGGUCGUCCCUGCAGACCCAGGAGGCUCCGUUUUCUCCCAGCUGGAAAAAAAGGGGAGGAGGGAGAGGAGAGGGAAGGAAAUAGCCAGCUCACCCAACCACGUUCUCCUUUUGGAAUAGAGUGAACACAACAAAACAACUUCACUCUGUUUUUGUUUCAGGAAAAGUUCUGACGCAAGUCUCUUCCUUAAAAAUAGGGCGCCUGGGUGGCUCAGUCGUUAAGCAUCUGCCUUCAGCUCGGGCCAUGAUCCCAGGGUCCUGGGAUCGAGCACCGCAUUGGGCUCCUUGCUCCGCGGGAAGCCUGCUUGUGUUCCCUCUCUCGCUGUGUCUCUCUCUGUCAACUAAAUAAAUAAUACCUUUUUUUUUAAAAAAAAUUUAUUUAUUUAUUUAUUCAUUCAUGAGAGACAGAGAGAGAAGCAGAGGGAGAAGCAGGCUCCCAAGGAGCAGGGAGCCUGAUGCGGGACUCGAUCCCAGGACCCUGAAACCAUGACCUGAGCCGAAGGCAGACGCUUAACCAUCUGAGCCACCCAGGCGCCCAAAUAAAUAAUAUCUUUUAAAAAAAAAACAUUUUCCUGGGGGGCGGGGGGGAAUGGAUGAAAUAGGUGAUGGGGAUUAAGGAGGGCACUUGGUGUGAUGAGCACCGGGUGAUGUCUGGCAGUGUUGAAUCGCUGUAUUGUACACCUGAAACUAACAUAACAGUUAACUAUAGUGGAAUUAAAAAUAAAACAAUGCACUGAAAAGAAUGUAAAAAUAAUAAUAAAAUUGCGUUGUAGGAGUAAGAAAAGGGGCGCCUGGCUGGCUCAGUUGGAGGAGACGUGACUCUUGAUCUUGGAGUCAUGAGUUCCAGCCCCAGGUUGGGUGUAAGAUUACUUAAAUAAAUAAACUUAAUAAAAAAAAAAUUCCUGCAGCCACAAGAGAAGAAAUGGGACUUUUAUUCUAAACAAAUAGCUUCUACUGAGUUUCACCUUAAAGAACCUUCACUGUGGAUGCAUUUAUAUUGACUGGUACAAUUUUGACUUAAUUUUCACACUAGACUUUUGUUUAAAUGACUCAUGUAAUUAAAUAAUGCUUCACAAAUCUUGAAAUUGAUUCAAACUUCAGAGACUUCAAGAUGUGUUUUUUGGUAGGUGAAAUAAUUUCUAUAGUAAGAGUUCUUACUUUAAUCCUUGUCUCUCCUUCCUCACUUCUCAUUUUAUUUUAAAAAAUUGUCAUGAGGGGGCGCCUGGGUGGCUCAGUCAGUAAGCAUCUGCCUUCGGCUCAGGUCAUGGUCCCAGGGUCUUGGGAUCAAGCCCUGCAUAGGGCUCCCCGCUCCAUGGGAGGCCUGCUUCUCUCCCACUCCCCCUGCUUGUGUUCCCUCUCUCGCUGUGUCUCUCUCUGUGUCAAAUAAAUAAAAUUAAAAAAAAAAUUGUCAUGAGGUGUGCCUGGGUGGCUCAGUCGGUUAAGCAUCAGAUUCCUGAUUUCAGCUCGGGUCAUGAUCUCAAGGUUGUGAGACUGAGUCCCAAAAUGGGGGACCUGCUUAAGAUUCAUUCUCUCUCUCAAAUUAAAAAAAAUGUCAUGAAUUAUUUCUAACUCCAUAGAAAAGUACAGAGGACAAAAACACACCCAGUACUACAAUUUAAUAGAUAUGAACAUAUCUUCAAAUGUGCUUUAGAUAUGCUUGUAAAUGAAAACCUCUUAUAGGUUUCCUUCCUCCAUUUUGGAGCCUCUGCCCUUCCAUCCACCUGUCAAAUAAAUAAGUUUUUUAAAAAACAACACUACAUCUAAUAACUUGUGUAUAUGUUUUUUUCCAUAUUUGUGGGUUUGUAUCUUUUUUUUUUUAAGUAAUCUCUACGUCCAACCUGGGCCUUGAACUCACAACCCUGAGAUCAAGAGUCACAUGCUGAGUUAUAGCCUAAGUCCUAUCAUUGUAGGAGGAUUCUGCAGCCACUAUAUCAACGAGCACAGAUGUUUCUCUUUCUUCACAUGAUGAAGAUCAGGGAUCUAAACUUAUCUGGAAAGCUAGAGAGGCACACUUUGUUUCCAUUGGAAUGGCAGGGUUUGCAGCAAUCGUUGCAUAUGGAUUAUAUAAAUUGAAGAGCUGGGGAAAUACUAAAAUGUCUGCUCACCUGAUCCACAUGCGUGUGGCAGCCCAAGGCUUUGUGGUGGAGCAAUGACCCUUGGUACGAGCCAUUCCGUGUAUAAGGAAUUCUGGGCAAAGCCUAAACCUUAGAAGAAGAGUAGUUGUUUUGUUGGUGCUGCUUGUUUUAGUUAGGCAUCUCAUAUUGAGUUUGUAUGUUUAUGUUGAAAAUAAAUUGUCUGAGUGGGCCAGACAAUAACACGGUAAUUUAAAUUUUGGCUUCCUUUUUUGCGGGCUUGAUUUACCUGGUAACCAAAUUACUAGUGACCAGUUAACUAGCUAGGUCAUUCAAGGGAGUCAAAUUAGCACAAAAGAAACACGUCACUUUUAAAUGUACUUCAUAGUGGUAUAAUAUGCUUCUUAAACCCUUCUGAUAAAAUCAGUUAUAGAGAGGACAAUUUGCCAAUCCUGAGGUACUCCAGUUGCUUUUGAAGUUAUGUAGGAAUCCUGUUUAAUUUAAUUUAUUUUCUGCCUGUUUUGCAGACUGAUUGAGUACUGCAGUUUUUAGGGCUAGUUGGCUCUUAACCCUUUCAGGACAGUGCAUGGAAUAUAAGCUUCCCCACAACUGAAAAUACGUGUAUUUAAACCAAACCUAAAAAGCCAAUAACAGCUGCUUACAAGUAGUAUUUAUUUCAGAAUCAUACUUGUGAACAUGAGAAUAACUUAUUUAUGGAUCCCAGUUUAGCUUUUUUUGUAAUUGCAGAGUUAUAUUUAUGCUGCUGUUGUAUUAGAUUAAUUUUUUUUUAAGAUUUUAUUUAUUCAGGGGCGCCUGGGUGGCUCA